UACGAAGGGGGCUAGCGUUGCUCGGAAUCACUGGGCGUAAAGGGUGCGUAGGCGGGUCUUUAAGUCAGGGGUGAAAUCCUGGAGCUCAACUCCAGAACUGCCUUUGAUACUGAGGAUCUUGAGUUCGGGAGAGGUGAGUGGAACUGCGAGUGUAGAGGUGAAAUUCGUAGAUAUUCGCAAGAACACCAGUGGCGAAGGCGGCUAACUGGCCCGAUACUGACGCUGAGGCACGAAAGCGUGGGGAGCAAACAGG
rnacentral:rRNA from 1 species